rnacentral:rRNA from 1 species
GGGGAAUAUUGGACAAUGGGGGGAACCCUGAUCCAGCCAUGCCGCGUGUGUGAAGAAGGCCUUAUGGUUGUAAAGCACUUUAAGCGAGGAGGAGGCUCUUUUGGUUAAUACCCAAGAUGAGUGGACGUUACUCGCAGAAUAAGCACCGGCUACAUCUGUGCCAGCAGCCGCGGUAAUACAGAGGGUGCGAGCGUUAAUCGGAUUUACUGGGCGUAAAGCGUGCGUAGGCGGCUUUUUAAGUCGGAUGUGAAAUCCGCGAGCUUAACUUGGGAAUUGCAUUCGAUACUGGGAAGCUAGAGUAUGGGAGAGGGUGGCGGAAUUCCAGGUGUAGGAGUGAAAUCCGUAGAUAUCUGGAGGAACACCAGUGGCGAAGGCGGCCAACUGGGCUUUUACUGACGCUGAGGCUCGAAAGCGUGGGGAGCAAACA